UUUCCGUAGGUGAACCUGCGGAAGGAUCAUUAAAGAGUAAGGGUCUUCGGGCCCGAUCUCCGACUCUUUGUUUAACUACCAUGUUGCUUUGGCCGGCCCGUCUCACGACCGCCGGAAGUUUGACUUCGACCAAACUUCUGGCCCGUGCCCGUCAGUGGCCCAUUCAAAUUCUUGAUUGAGUAUGAUGUCUUAGUUAAAAACUUAAUAAUUAAAACUUUCAACAACGGAUCUCUUGGUUCUG
rnacentral:misc_RNA from 1 species